rnacentral:rRNA from 1 species
GAUGAACGCUAGCGGGAGGCCUAACACAUGCAAGCCGAGCGGGAUUUGUUGGUUAGCUUGCUAACUAACAAUGAGAGCGGCGUACGGGUGCGUAGCACGUGUGCAACCUGCCUUUAUCUGGGGGAUAGCCUUUCGAAAGGAAGAUAAAUACCCCAUAACAUAUUGAUUGGCAUCAGUUAAUAUUGAAAGCUCCGGCGGAUAGAGAUGGGCACGCGUAAGAUGAGCUAGUUGGUGAGGUAACGGCUCACCAAGGCUGCGAUCUUGAGGGGGCCUGAGAGGGGGAUCCCCCACACUGGUACUGCGACCCAGACCAGACUCCUACGGGAGGCAGCAGUGUGGAAUAUUGGACACGGGAUGAGAGCCUGAUCCAGCCAUCCCGCGUGAAGGACUAAGGACCUAUGGUUUGUAAACUUCUUUUAUACAGGGAUAAACCUACUCUCGUGAGGGUAGCUGAAGGUACUGUAUGAAUAAGCACCGGCUAACUCCGUG